AAUAAACGCAUGCGUGAGUUUUCUAUCCAACUUUAAUCGUCCGUCUUUUUACGAUUAGAAUUUUUAUUGUUAUUAGAUUAUAAAAUAUGAAUAGUACUUUAUGCUUGACUUAUGUCUUUUAGGUUUUUUUAAAAAAAUUAAAUAAGACAAACAAUUAAAGCUGGACACGAAAACUCAUGGCUGCGUUUAUU
rfam:Oryza glumipatula chromosome 11, whole genome shotgun sequence.